GAUGAACGCUGGCGGCGUGCCUUAUACAUGCAAGUCGAGCGGACCAAAGAGAGCUUGCUCUCUGAGGUUAGCGGCGGACGGGUGAGUAACACGUGGGUAACCUGCCUGUAAGACGGGGAUAACUUCGGGAAACCGAAGCUAAUACCGGAUGAUAAAGAGAAACGCCUGUUUCUUUUUUGAAAGUCGGCCUUGUGCUGACGCUUACAGAUGGGCCCGCGGCGCAUUAGCUAGUUGGUGAGGUAACGGCUCACCAAGGCGACGAUGCGUAGCCGACCUGAGGGGGUGAUCGGCCACACGGGGACUGAGACACGGCCCAGACUCCUACGGGAGGCAGCAGUAGGGAAUCUUCGGCAAUGGACGAAAGUCUGACCGAGCAACGCCGCGUGAGCGAUGAGGGCCUUCGGGUCGUAAAGCUCUGUUGUCAGAGAAGAACAAGUACCGGAGUAACUGCCGGUACCUUGACGGUACCUGACCUGAAAGCCACGGCUAACUACGUGCCAGCCGCCGCCGUAA
rnacentral:rRNA from 1 species